rfam:Stegodyphus mimosarum contig37659, whole genome shotgun sequence.
CGGUGCUUUGCUUCAACAGUGUUUGAACGGGCAUCU